UAAAGUACCGCGGCUUGUCCGCGGGUCGGGGGGCCCCCUCGGGAGGCCCUGUCUGAACCCUAUGUCAUUGUCGCACCUCGCGUUUCCUCGGCGGGCUCGCCCGCCAACGAGGACCCCAUACCAAACCCAUUGCAGUAUUGCAGUACACGUCUCACAAACAAUCAAUCA
rnacentral:misc_RNA from 1 species